ACAGCAGUGUUACAGGUACAGUACGUGAUAUUAAGGGCAGAAGGUCAUCACUGGGGGAAGACAAGAAGCAGACGUACUUCCAAGAGGGAGCUGCAGUGAGGACACAGCCUGGUCACUGAGGUCAGAGGAGGCACUGAAAGGUUUCCCUAAUAGUUCCUGGUGAAUCAAAGCAGGACCAUAAAGGUUGCUGGACUGCAUGAUGGCCUUACCCCUGAGCAGUCAUCCUGUUAAAGGAGGAACCAGUUAGAAGCUGUUUUCAAAGUAGCUGAGCAGAUUUCACCUCAACAGACAAAGCCGAUGGCAGAAGAUGUUUGGAGAAGAACUUCAGGUCGUGGACUGAAAAGUAGAUCAAAGCAGCUCGUGCUCUGUCUGCUUCCAUUCUGAUGGCAAGCAGAAGAAGAAGAAGAAGAAGAAGAAGAAGAAGACUUCAGCCAAGUGGCGUUCAUGGUCUCAGUGAACAGUCAUGGUCACACACUGCAUGUGGUUUUAAAAGCAACAUGUCUGUUCACCACAACAAUGGAGAUGUGUAAUAUCAGUGCAGCUACGGUUUGUUCUUGAACAUCAGUUCUGUUUUCUACUUUGACCACUUAGAACAAAAAAGUGUUGUUUUCAGAUUCUUUCUUUUAAAUCUGUAAAGUACCUGCUCAUUUUUUAUUAAAAUUAGUUUCACAUAAAUGUUAGUGUUUCCUUUAUGAUCUUUUAAUGCUUACACUACACUGUACUCGUCUACAUUAGAGACAUUUCUGUUACCUAUGUAUGAGACUGGGCUGC